GACGAACGCUGGCGGCGUGCUUAACACAUGCCAGUCGAACGGAAAGGCCCUGCUUUUGUGGGGUGCUCGAGUGGCGAACGGGUGAGUAACACGUGAGUAACCUGCCCUUGACUUUGGGAUAACUUCAGGAAACUGGGGCUAAUACCGGAUAGGAGCUCCUGUUGCAUGGUGGGGGUUGGAAAGUUUCGGCGGUUGGGGAUGGACUCGCGGCUUAUCAGCUUGUUGGUGGGGUAGUGGCUUACCAAGGCUUUGACGGGUAGCCGGCCUGAGAGGGUGACCGGCCACAUUGGGACUGAGAUACGGCCCAGACUCCUACGGGAGGCAGCAGUGGGGAAUAUUGCACAAUGGGCGGAAGCCUGAUGCAGCAACGCCGCGUGCGGGAUGACGGCCUUCGGGAUGUAAACCGCUUUCGCCUGUGACGAAGCGUGAGUGACGGUAAUGGGUAAAGAAGCACCGGCUAACUACGUG
rnacentral:rRNA from 1 species